GUGAAUGGGCUAGAGAUGAAGAACAGGAUGGGUGGGGAAUAUUGGGAAGAUAUUGAAUGCAUGAAAAAUAGAAGUCAGAAGGAAAAGGGGAUAUGAGGGCAUUGGAGUAAUGGAUUUGCAAUCAACUUUUUCCUCUGACUGGAUUUGUUCUC